rnacentral:rRNA from 1 species
AUUGAACGCUGGCGGCAUGCCUUACACAUGCAAGUCGAACGGUAACAGGUCUUCGGAUGCUGACGAGUGGCGAACGGGUGAGUAAUACAUCGGAACGUGCCUAGUAGUGGGGGAUAACUACUCGAAAGAGUGGCUAAUACCGCAUGAGAUCUACGGAUGAAAGCAGGGGAUCGCAAGACCUUGUGCUACUAGAGCGGCCGAUGGCAGAUUAGGUAGUUGGUGGGAUGAAAGCUUACCAAGCCGACGAUCUGUAGCUGGUCUGAGAGGACGAUCAGCCACACUGGGACUGGGACACGGACGCGACUCCUACGGGAGGCAGCAGUGGGGAAUUUUGGACAAUGGGCGCAAGCCUGAUCCAGCAAUGCCGCGUGCAGGAUGAAGGCCUUCGGGUUGUAAACUGCUUUUGUACGGAACGAAAAGCCCUGGGUUAAUACCCUGGGGUCAUGACGGUACCGUAAGAAUAAGCACCGGCUAACUACGUGCCAGCCGCCGCAGUAA